GCUGCUUACGCGAUAGAAAUCAUUUUUCGUUUUAUUUAUCGGUAAAUCAUGCAAUUCUUAGAUCAAUAUAAUUUCUAUUUGCCCUAAUCUUUCUUAACUGCGUGUAAUUCAAAUACUCGUAAACAGUAUCGUCUUGCGCAUUGCACGGCUUUCAAUACCUAAUACAUAUGUAAAAAAGAAAACACCGUUAAAUUGAAUUCUAAAAGAAGUAUUCUGACACGUAGAUGAGGUCAUAAUAUUGAUAUGUUUUUAAGGCCAAGAAUACUUAUAAUUCCUAAUGAAACCCGAAAGAGAAAAAAAGAUAAAGACGUAAGUUUGUGCGUCAACAGAAAUCCCAAUGGAGACUGUGAAAGUGUUACAUGAUACGUUACGCUAUUUUGGACACGUGUC